UACAGGGGGGGCAAGCGUUGUUCGGAAUUACUGGGCGUAAAGGGUUUGUAGGUGGCCACUUAAGUCAGACGUGAAAUCCCUCAGCUUAACUGGGGAACUGCGUCUGAUACUGCGUGGCUUGAGUGCAGGAGAGGAACGCGGAAUUCCAGGUGUAGCGGUGAAAUGCGUAGAUAUCUGGAGGAACACCGGUGGCGAAGGCGGCGUUCUGGACUGUAACUGACACUGAGGCGCGAAAGCGUGGGGAGCGAACAGG
rnacentral:rRNA from 1 species